UGGGGAAUUUUCCGCAAUGGGCGAAAGCCUGACGGAGCAAUGCCGCGUGGAGGUGGAAGGCCUACGGGUCAUCAACUUCUUUUCUUGGAGAAGAAACAAUGACGGUAUCUGAGGAAUAAGCAUCGGCUAACUCUGUGCCAG
rnacentral:rRNA from 1 species